CCUACGGGUGGCUGCAGUGGGGAAUUUUGGACAAUGGGCGCAAGCCUGAUCCAGCCAUUCCGCGUGAGUGAAGAAGGCCUUCGGGUUGUAAAGCUCUUUCGCAAGGGAAGAAAACUUAUCCUCUAACAUAGGAUGAGGUUGACGGUACCUUGAUAAGAAGCACCGGCUAACUACGUGCCAGCAGCCGCGGUAAUAAGUAGGGUGCGAGCGUUAAUCGGAAUUACUGGGGGCAGAUUGUGCGGUGGCUGGUGAAAUCCCCGAGCGCAACUUGGUAACUGCGUUUGAAACUACAAGACUAGAAUAGGUCAGAGGGGGGUAGAAUUCCACGUGUAGCAGUGAAAUGCGUAGAGAUGUGGAGGAAUAUCAAUGGCGAAGGCAGCCCCCUGGGAUCAUAUUGACGCUCAUGCACGAAAGCGUGGGGAGCAAACAGGAUUAGAUACCCGAGUAGUC
rnacentral:rRNA from 1 species